GUAGGUGAACCUGCGGAAGGAUCAUUAUUGAAUAAAUCUGGCAUGGGGUUGUAGCUGGCUCUCUGGAGCAUGUGCACGCCUCUGUCACCUUUAUCUUUCCACCUGUGCACACACUGUAGUCCCUGGAUACCUCUCGCUGAAAGGCGGAUGCGGAGCUUGCUGUUUUGCUUUCGAGCUCGGCUUGCUCUGAAUUUCCAGGGUCUACGAAUUUUUAUCAUACACCCCAAACGAAUGUUAUAGAAUGUCAUAUCAUUGGGCCUUGUGCCUAUAAAACCUAUACAACUUUCAACAACGGAUCUCUUGGCUCUC
rnacentral:misc_RNA from 1 species